CCUACGGGUGGCAGCAGUGGGGGAUAUUGCACAAUGGGGGGAACCCUGAUGCAGCGACGCCGCGUGGGUGAAGAAGCGCCUCGGCGCGUAAAGCCCUGUCAGCAGUGAAUUGACGGUACCUGCAAAGGAAGCACCGGCUAACUCCGUGCCAGCAGCCGCGGUAAUACGGGGGGUGCGAGCGUUAAGCGGAAGUACUGGGCGUAAGGCGCUCGUAGGCGGUAUGUCAAGUCAAGGGUGAAAUCCCCGCGCCCAAGGGGGGAACUGCCUGUGAAACUGGCAAACUGGAGUGUGUGAGAGGAUAGUGGAAUUCCAGGUGUAGGAGUGAAAUCCGUAGAUAUCUGGAGGAACAUCAGUGGCGAAGGCGACUAUCUGGCACAUAACUGACGCUGAGGAGCGAAAGCGUGGGUAGCAAACAGGAUUAGAUACCCGAGUAGUC
rnacentral:rRNA from 1 species